UGAACGCUAGCUACAGGCUUAACACAUGCAAGUCGAGGGGCAGCAUGGUCUUAGCUUGCUAAGACUGAUGGCGACCGGCGCACGGGUGAGUAACACGUAUCCAACCUGCCGUCUACUCUUGGACAGCCUUCUGAAAGGAAGAUUAAUACAAGAUGGCAUCAUGAGUCCGCAUGUUCACAUGAUUAAAGGUAUUCCGGUAGACGAUGGGGAUGCGUUCCAUUAGAUAGUAGGCGGGGUAACGGCCCACCUAGUCUUCGAUGGAUAGGGGUUCUGAGAGGAAGGUCCCCCACAUUGGAACUGAGACACGGUCCAAACUCCUACGGGAGGCAGCAGUGAGGAAUAUUGGUCAAUGGGCGAGAGCCUGAACCAGCCAAGUAGCGUGAAGGAUGACUGCCCUAUGGGUUGUAAACUUCUUUUAUAAAGGAAUAAAGUCGGGUAUGCAUACCCGUUUGCAUGUACUUUAUGAAUAAGGAUCGGCUAACUCCGUGCCAGCAGCCGCGGUAAUACGGAGGAUCCGAGCGUUAUCCGGAUUUAUUGGGUUUAAAGGGAGCGUAGAUGGAUGUUUAAGUCAGUUGUGAAAGUUUGCGGCUCAACCGUAAAAUUGCAGUUGAUACUGGAUAUCUUGAGUGCAGUUGAGGCAGGCGGAAUUCGUGGUGUAGCGGUGAAAUGCUUAGAUAUCACGAAGAACUCCGAUUGCGAAGGCAGCCUGCUAAGCUGCAACUGACAUUGAGGCUCGAAAGUGUGGGUAUCAAACAGGAUUAGAUACCCUGGUAGUCCACACGGUAAACGAUGAAUACUCGCUGUUUGCGAUAUACGGCAAGCGGCCAAGCGAAAGCGUUAAGUAUUCCACCUGGGGAGUACGCCGGCAACGGUGAAACUCAAAGGAAUUGACGGGGGCCCGCACAAGCGGAGGAACAUGUGGUUUAAUUCGAUGAUACGCGAGGAACCUUACCCGGGCUUAAAUUGCAGAUGAAUUACGGUGAAAGCCGUAAGCCGCAAGGCAUCUGUGAAGGUGCUGCAUGGUUGUCGUCAGCUCGUGCCGUGAGGUGUCGGCUUAAGUGCCAUAACGAGCGCAACCCUUGUUGUCAGUUACUAACAGGUUCCGCUGAGGACUCUGACAAGACUGCCAUCGUAAGAUGUGAGGAAGGUGGGGAUGACGUCAAAUCAGCACGGCCCUUACGUCCGGGGCUACACACGUGUUACAAUGGGGGGUACAGAGGGCCGCUACCACGCGAGUGGAUGCCAAUCCCAAAAACCUCUCUCAGUUCGGACUGGAGUCUGCAACCCGACUCCACGAAGCUGGAUUCGCUAGUGAUCGCGCAUCAGCCACGGCGCGGUGAAUACGUUCCCGGGCCUUGUACACACCGCCCGUCAAGCCAUGGGAGCCGGGGGUACCUGAAGUGCGUAACCGCGAGGAGCGCCCUAGGGUAAAACUGGUGACUGGGGCU
rnacentral:rRNA from 1 species